AGUGAACGCUGGCGGUAGGCCUAACUCAUGCAAGUCGAACGGCAGCACAGGAGAGCUUGCUCUCUGGGUGGCGAGUGGCGGACGGGUGAGGAAUACAUCGGAAUCUACUCUGUCGGGGGGGAUAACGUAGGGAAACUUACGCUAAUACCGCAUACGACCUACGGGUGUAAGCAGGGGACCUUCGGGCCUUGCGCGAUUGAAUGAGCCGAUGUCGGAUUAGCUAGUUGGCGGGGUAAAGGCCCACCAAGGCGACGAUCCGUAGCUAGUCUGAGAGGAUGAUCAGCCACACUGGAACUGAGACACGGUCCAGACUCCUACGGGAGGCAGCAGUGGGGAAUAUUGGACAAUGGGCGCAAGCCUGAUCCAGCCAUACCGCGUGGGUGAAGAAGGCCUUCGGGUUGUAAAGCCCUUUUGUUGGGAAAGAAAUCCAGCUGGCUAAUACCCGGUUGGGAUGACGGUACCCAAAGAAUAAGCACCGGCUAACUUCGUGCCAGCCGCCGCGGUAA
rnacentral:rRNA from 1 species